GCCUCGAUGGCUCAAUGGUAGAGCACCCCACUCGUAAUGGGGUGGUUCCGGGUUCGAUUCCCGGUCGAGGCU
rnacentral:tRNA from 1 species